UGAUGCCCACCUGAAGCCCUGCUGGAGAGGACAGCACUCCGAGGAGUAGCAGAGGAACCAGAUGGAAGUAGCCAUGGUCUGGGACAACCUCAUGUAGCAAAACGGCCCUCCUGGCCUGGACAGACAGCUGAGGGUGCAAGCCCCGAGAAAUGCGAGCCAUGGCUCUUCAUGGCUGAAGGAAUUGGUCACCUAACACUGACACGGUCUGGAAGAAUUAUUUUGAAGCUGUGAUGACCACCUGAAGACCUGCUGGGGAGGACGGCACUCCAGGGAGUAGCAGAGCAACCACAAGGAAGUAGCCGUGGUGUGGGACGUCCUCAUGUAGCAGAAUGGCCUACCUGACCUGGACCGCCUACUGCCUCUGGACUGUUAAGAGAGGAUAGACACUGUCUUGGUGAUACCACUUAACAGUCGUGUGCAGCAUCAUGACAUUUUGGGCAGCAAUGGACCACAUGUACAAUAAGAUUAUCACAGAGCUCAACAUUCCUAUUUCCUGGUGACAUGGCAGCCAUCAUGACUUCGUAGCACAAUGCAUUCCUCACGUGUUUGCAGUGGUACUGGUGUAAACACACCUCCUUGCACUGUCAAUCAUAGAAUUUAGCACAUAGAAUUACAUACAGUACAUAACACCUGAUAAUGAUAAUAAAUGACUAUGUUAAAAGUUUA